rnacentral:rRNA from 1 species
UACAGAGGGUGCGAGCGUUAAUCGGAAUUACUGGGCGUAAAGCGCACGUAGGCGGCGUCGUAAGUCGGGUGUGAAAGCCCCGGGCUCAACCUGGGAAUUGCAUUCGAGACUGCAUUGCUGGAGUACGGAAGAGGAAGGCGGAAUUCCCGGUGUAGCGGUGAAAUGCGUAGAUAUCGGGAGGAACAUCAGUGGCGAAGGCGGCCUUCUGGUCCAGUACUGACACUCAAGUGCGAAAGCGUGGGGAGCAAACAGG